CAAUAGCGUAUAUUUAAGUUGCUGCAGUUAAAAAGCUCGUAGUUGGAUUUCGGGUGGGAAUGGCCGGUCCGCCGUUUCGGUGUGCACUUGCUACGCCCACCUUGCUGCCGGGGACGUGCUCUUGAGUUCACGCUCGGGACACGGAGUCGGCGAGGUUACUUUGAGUAAAUUAGAGUGUUCAAAGCAGGCCUACGCUCUGAAUACAUUAGCAUGGAAUAACACGAUAGGACUCUGGCCUAUCUUGUUGGUCUGUAGGACCGGAGUAAUGAUUAAGAGGGACAGUCGGGGGCAUUCGUAUUUCAUUGUCAGAGGUGAAAUUCUUGGAUUUAUGAAAGACGAACUGCUGCGAAAGCAUUUGCCAAGGAUGUUUUCAUUAA
rnacentral:rRNA from 1 species